AAGAGAAUAGAACAGAGAAGACAGACAAACAGAAGUGGAAGGCAACAGAUCUAGACUACUGGUCAUAUUACUGCCUGUAGUAUCUGUAUAGACUACUGUUCAUAUUACUGCCUGUAGUAUCUGUAAAUACUACUGUUCAUAUUACUGCCUGUAGUAUCUG